AGUGAACGCUGGCGGUAGGCCUAACACAUGCAAGUCGAACGCCAGCACAGUAAGAGCUUGCUCUUACGGGUGGCGAGUGGCGGACGGGUGAGGAAUACAUCGGAAUCUACUUUUUCGUGGGGGAUAACGUAGGGAAACUUACGCUAAUACCGCAUACGACCUACGGGUGAAAGCAGGGGAUCUUCGGACCUUGCGCGAUUGAAUGAGCCGAUGUCGGAUUAGCUAGUUGGCGGGGUAAAGGCCCACCAAGGCGACGAUCCGUAGCUGGUCUGAGAGGAUGAUCAGCCACACUGGAACUGAGACACGGUCCAGACUCCUACGGGAGGCAGCAGUGGGGAAUAUUGGACAAUGGGCGCAAGCCUGAUCCAGCCAUACCGCGUGGGUGAAGAAGGCCUUCGGGUUGUAAAGCCCUUUUGUUGGGAAAGAAAAGCAGCAGGUUAAUACCCCGCUGUUCUGACGGUACCCAAAGAAUAAGCACCGGCUAACUUCGU
rnacentral:rRNA from 1 species